UAGGGAAUAUUGGGCAAUGGAUGCAAGUCUGACCCAGCCAUGCCGCGUGCCGGAUGAAGGCCCUCAGGGUUGUAAACGGCUUUUAUUCGGGAAGAAGAGCAGGGAUGCGUCCUUGUGUUACGGUACCGAAUGAAUAAGCACCUGCUAACUCCGUGCCAGCAGCCGCGGUAAUACGGAGGGUGCGAGCGUCGUCCGGAUUUAUCGGGUUUCAAGGGUGCGUAGGUGGCUGAAUAAGUCAGUGGUGAAAUACAGCCGCUCAACGGUUGAGGUGCCAUUGAUACUGUGAAGCUUGAAACAAGUGGAGGCUGCCGGAAUGGGUGGUGUGGCGGUGAAAUGCAUAGAUAUCAUCAAGAACACCGAUGGCGAAGGCAGGUGGCUACGUUUGAUUUGACACUGAGGCACGAAAGCAUGGGGAGCAAACA
rnacentral:rRNA from 1 species